rnacentral:rRNA from 2 species
GGACUACCGGGGUAUCUAAUCCUUUUUGCUCCCCAUACUUUCGAGCCUGAGCGUCGGAUCUCGUCCAGCCGGCUGCCUUCGCCGUUGGUGUUCCUCUUGAUAUCUACGCAUUUCACUGCUCCACCAAGAAUUCCACCGGCCCCUCCGAGUCCCUAGAAUCGCAGUUUCAGACGCAGUCCGGGAGUUGAGCCCCCGGGUUUCACAUCCGACACACGAUUCCGCCUGCGCUCCCUUUACGCCCAGUGAAUCCGAGUAACGCUUGCAGUCUCUGUAUUACCGCGGCUGCUGGCAC